CGGGCCGGAGUAUGCCGGUAGUACGCCAGCAUGGGGUGUUGGUAGACCGGGUUCAAUUCCCGGCGGCCCGA
rnacentral:tRNA from 1 species